rnacentral:piRNA from 1 species
UACUUACCUACGAGAAAAGUGCGUCU